AGCCAGGGCUUAUAUAAAGUCAGACAGCUGAAGGUAAUAUGGGGUUGUAGGGAGAAGGUUUGUAGUCUCUUUCCCUGAGACUAGGGAGAGACAGUAGCCUAUGCCUGGAGGAGAGUAGAGAAAUAGAUUGAUAGAGGCAACAUAAGAAGUAGUCUAGGGAAACAGCAGCAAGGUGUGGGACUGUGCAGACCUUAGCUGCUGAGUGUAGGGUCCCUGGGCUGGAACUCUGAGAAGAGGGUGGGCCUGGCUUCCCCUACCAGCCAGUGGAGAAGUGGCACUAUUGAGGCAGUGAACUGGAAGCCUGCCUGGGACAGAGAGAUAUUGGUCUGCACUCCCAGAAGGGGAGAACUAAGCCAUGAGGAGGGAGCAGUCAAGUCCUGAGAGAGAAUUGGCAGGAAGAGACAUCAGACAUACAGAACUAAUCCUCCUCUGGGACCAUAAGGAGGUGCUCCCAUGGAUGGGACACAGCUGCUGGCUACACUCUCGGAAUGCGAUUUCAGUUGGGGCCUAAAGUCUGCAGAAUCAUAUUUCAAGCAGUGUCAGACUUUUGGAUGCAAGAAAAGUCUCAGUCUGUAACAUUAAUUCUGGAAACCUGCAGGGGAUUGGACAGGGGAAAGUCCAGCAACUCCCCAAGCUGUGGAAUUACUUAGAUUGCCCCUGCCCCAAAGAGCUUCCAGUCUUCUGUUCUGGGUUCUGUUUUGUAUAGCACCUAGCACAAGGGGUGCUGGCCCAUGACUGGGGUUCCUACAUGCUACUGCAAGACAGAUAAUAUACUGGAAACUGUGCAGUCAGUAAUCUUGAAAAAUCACAUUAGUUUUCCUCCUUGGUAACAACCUUCAAAUCAUUGUCUAGGAAGCGCACUAUCAAUUCUUCUGGGUUUAUAUUAGCAUCUCAGAUAAGACUUAUCACAAUAGAGGCACUUGUGGGCACAUACAAACAAGGAGAGAGUAAUAUGGCAAUACAAGGCUUAACCAAAAACCUGCUGAAAUGAGGGUAUUGCACCAUUCUGAUCAGUCUUACUGUGUUGGGGAAGUAGACCAUGAUCCUAACCAAACCUACAGAAGUCUCAUGUUGAGUUGGGAGGUGGGCAGAGAAGGCAGAAUAAACUAUAACACGAAGUUCCCAUGAUCCUUCCAUGCCAGUAGGAUUGUGCAUCAUCUGGUAUUUAAAUAUUGGGUUGCAGGAUGAAAUCACUAUGACCAACUGUCUAUUUUGUGACAACUGUUCGCCAUUUACCUUAUUUUAAUCCAGUCGUCCACAUUUUGGCUUGCCAUUAAGGUCUCCAGAUAGUCUCUCCCCAUGUAGUAAGGAGGCCGCUCAUUGAUUUUCUGAGGUAGGUACUCCAAUAAGCCAGCUGGAAUAUACCUUGCAAUGCAAAUACAUAUUAAAUGUCACUGAAUUUUAUUUUACAAAAUAUUACAGUAGAGGCAGAGACCCAGCAAGAAAAAGCUCUCUCUCCAAAGACAUUGAGAAAGCAAGUUACCUGCACAAAAAGGACAGCCAUUCCAGCAUGAACUUCCUGGUUUUCUCCACCCCCUGAGUAUCGGAACCCCAGUGUUCGAGGCCAUAAUUGGUGAAGUCUUUGAGAAUAUCUAAUCUUUCAGUGGAAGAGAUGUCCCAGUGUCGCUGUUCUUUAAUUUCAGUGAAAAUCCAAGGUUUGAUCAAUGCUCCUCUGUGGUCAGACAAGAUCGGAUCAGAAAGGAAAAUGGUUAUAACCAAAAAGUUUGUCCAGCUAUAAAACUGAAGUUUAGCUACAGACUUCCAUAUGUGAGACAUGGGAUGACUCCGGCCAGACAACAUUUGUUUUUACUGAGUUAUCUCCCAGUGGGCACAGGAAGAGUGCAUUUCAUUUUCUAGUUAAAGCCUCCUACAAACACAGCUCUGGCAGGAGGAUCUGACCACAAACAAGACAAUCCAAUCUUUUCAGGGAAUCUGCUGGCUUUCACUUUGACCUACCUUUAGGGCUUAAUUCUGUCCUCUUGCAUGAUCAACCGCCAUUGAUUUCCCUGGAUACUGCACCCCUGCAAAUGAGGGAAUAACUAAGCCCCAACUACUAGUUUUCCCCUUUGCCCUAUUUAUUUAUACUCCAGGAGCCUGCCUAGAGCUAAGACCGAACAUGAAGCAAUCAUGUACCAGCAUCUAGUUAACUUCAGGGAUAACAGGAGGUGUGAGUAUUUUUAAAUUGACCAAUACAAAUAUUACAUGCCUGAGGGAUGAAAGGUAUUAGGAAGGCUGCUUCUAAAUCCCUUACACCUUAGAAAAUUCCACCCAGAGAGGUUGAUUGAGCUAAUGUCACACAGGAAGCAGAUGCCGAGAACUAGAUCAAGGUUUUAUUCCCUACUCAGGUCUGUUCUUUAACCACAAGAGCCCAGGCAGAGCAAACAUAAGGUUAAUCAUCAGGAUUACUCUAAGGCUGGGAUCUGAGAAAUGAAAUUGGAAGUAGCUUCUGAAGCGGGGACAGGGUCAAUUCUCAAACAGAUUAGAGAGGGCCCAGUGGUCCAAACUGAUCAGGGAUUAG